rnacentral:rRNA from 1 species
UACGUAGGGGGCGAGCGUUGUCCGAAGUUACUGGGCGUAAAGGGCGCGUAGGCGGCUCUGUGCGUCACCCGUGAAAGCCCCCGGCUCAACCGGGGAGGGUCGGGUGAAACGGCGGAGCUGGAGGCAGCGAGAGGCUGGUGGAAUUCCCGGAGUAGUGGUGAAAUGCGUAGAGAUCGGGAGGAACACCGGUGGCGAAGGCGGCCAGCUGGCGCUGACCUGACGCUGAGGCGCGAAGGCGUGGGGAGCGAACGGG